rnacentral:rRNA from 1 species
GGAAUAUUGCACAAUGGGGGAAACCCUGAUGCAGCAACGCCGCGUGAAGGAUGAAGGCCUUCGGGUCGUAAACUUCUUUUCUGGGGGAAGAGAGAGGACGGUACCUCAGGAAUAAGUCCCGGCUAACUACGUGCCAGCAGCCGCGGUAAUACGUAGGUGGCGAGCGUUAUCCGGAAUUACUGGGCGUAAAGCGCACGCAGGCGGUUAUCCAAGUCUGACGUGAAAGCUCCUGGCUUAACUGGGAGAGGUCGUUAGAGACUGGGUAGCUUGAGGCGGUGAGAGGGGUGUGGAACUCCCGGUGUAGUGGUGGAAUGCGUAGAGAUCGGGAGGAACACCAGUGGCGAAAGCGGCACCCUGGCACUGACCUGACGCUCAGGUGCGAAAGCGUGGGGAGCGA